ACGCAUGCGCUCCACCCCUCCCUCUGUCACGGUGCCACUGGCUUUCUGUCACGCUCCCCAUUUCUGUCCCAAGGGUUACAGGUAAACUGCCACCGAGGUUGCUAAAUUUGUUCACUCUUUUUUACAGUUUCCUCUACUGAGGUCACGUUGGCAGCUGUUUCCCUAUUUAGGAACUUAAAUGCAGUCCUCCGGUGGGUAUCCUGGGAAGCUAUUCUGUGCAGCACCACGCCGCCACCGGUGACUCCUCUUCCUCCCUCCACCUGCUCUGUGCUCUACAGACAACCGUUAGUCCCUGACUGCUUCCGGCCCCAGGUAGGCCUGCCUUUCAGUUCACCGGAGCUCUCCUGCCGGGAGUCACGGACAAACACCCUCUUCGCUGGGAACUGGAUGCAAAUAUGGGCAGGUGUGAACCCUAGAUGUGAAUUUGAGCCCGUUGGAAGGUACGUUUCUAAGGCGCAAGCCCAUUCUGAAGGAUCGCCCAGGACACGUCUUCCCUGGAGACCCCCACGGUAGCAGACGCUUGCCUCCUGAAGGGUUGAAGACAGGUAGGGAUUGUUCCGUUUGACCUCUGAGUUUGACUGGAGGCAAGUCCUUUAAACCUACACAGGCCACUCAAGCCCCCAUGGUCCCUCUCUGUGUCUCUGAGAGCCUAAAUGUCCCUCAGUGUUUUUUGAUAACGGCCUCUUCGUUUUCACACAGACUGACCUAUUAGUUCCAUUUGUUUAUUAGAAUCAAGGUAC
rnacentral:lncRNA from 1 species